rnacentral:rRNA from 1 species
AAGGGAGCUUGCUCCCGGAUGUUAGCGGCGGACGGGUGAGUAACACGUGGGUAACCUGCCUGUAAGACUGGGAUAACUCCGGGAAACCGGAGCUAAUACCGGAUAGUUCCUUGAACCGCAUGGUUCAAGGAUGAAAGACGGUUUCGGCUGUCACUUACAGAUGGACCCGCGGCGCAUUAGCUAGUUGGUGGGGUAAUGGCUCACCAAGGCGACGAUGCGUAGCCGACCUGAGAGGGUGAUCGGCCACACUGGGACUGAGACACGGCCCAGACUCCUACGGGAGGCAGCAGUAGGGAAUCUUCCGCAAUGGACGAAAGUCUGACGGAGCAACGCCGCGUGAGUGAUGAAGGUUUUCGGAUCGUAAAGCUCUGUUGUUAGGGAAGAACAAGUGCGAGAGUAACUGCUCGCACCUUGACGGUACCUAACCAGAAAGCCACGGCUAACUACGUGCCAGCAGCCGCGGUAAUACGUAGGUGGCAAGCGUUGUCCGGAAUUAUUGGGCGUAAAGGGCUCGCAGGCGGUUUCUUAAGUCUGAUGUGAAAGCCCCCCGGCUCAACCGGGGAGGGUCAUUGGAAACUGGGAAACUUGAGUGCAGAAAGAGGAGAG